rnacentral:rRNA from 1 species
CGAUGGUAGGAUAGAGGCCUACCAUGGUGGUAACGGGUAACGGGGAAUUAGGGUUCGAUUCCGGAGAGGGAGCCUGAGAAACGGCUACCACAUCCAAGGAAGGCAGCAGGCGCGCAAAUUACCCAAUCCCGACACGGGGAGGUAGUGACAAUAAAUAACAACACAGGGCUCUUUUGGGUCUUGUUAUUGGAAUGAGUACGAUUUAAAUCUCCUAACGAGGAACAAUUGGAGGGCAAGUCUGGUGCCAGCAGCCGCGGUAAUUCCAGCUCCAAUAGCGUAUAUUAAAGUUGUUGCAGUUAAAAAGCUCGUAGUUGAAUUCCAGGCCUGGCUGGACGGUCCGCCCUUCGGGUGAGUACUGUCUGUGGUCGGGUCCUACCUUCUGGCGAAGCGUCAUGGCCUUAACCGGCCGUGGCGGGGAACCAGGACUUUUACUGUGAAAAAAUUAGAGUGUUCAAAGCAGGCAAUCGCUUGGAUACAUGAGCAUGGAAUAAUGGAAUAGGACAAUGGUUCUAUUUGUUGGUUUCUAGGACCGUUGUAAUGAUUAAUAGGGAUAGUUGGGGGCAUUAGUAUUCAAUUGUCAGAGGUGAAAUUCUUGGAUUUAUUGAAGACUAACUACUGCGAAAGCAUUUGCCAAGGAUGUUUUCAUUAAUCAAGAACGAAAGUUAGGGGAUCGAAGACGAUCAGAUACCGUCGUAGUCUUAACCAUAAACUAUGCCGACUAGGGAUCGGAUGAUGNUAAUUUUUUAACGACUCAUUCGGCGCCUUACGGGAAACCCAAAGUG